rnacentral:rRNA from 1 species
GACGAACGCUGGCGGCGUGCUUAACACAUGCAAGUCGAACGGAAAGGCCCUGCUUUUGUGGGGUGCUCGAGUGGCGAACGGGUGAGUAACACGUGAGUAACCUGCCCUUGACUUUGGGAUAACUUCAGGAAACUGGGGCUAAUACCGGAUAGGAGCUCCUGCUGCAUGGUGGGGGUUGGAAAGUUUCGGCGGUUGGGGAUGGACUCGCGGCUUAUCAGCUUGUUGGUGGGGUAGUGGCUUACCAAGGCUUUGACGGGUAGCCGGCCUGAGAGGGUGACCGGCCACAUUGGGACUGAGAUACGGCCCAGACUCCUACGGGAGGCAGCAGGGGGGAAUAUUGCAGAAUGGGCGGAAGCCUGAUGCAGCAACGCCGCGUGCGGGAUGACGGCCUUCGGGUUGUAAACCGCUUUCGCAUGUGACGAAGAGGGAGUGACGGUAAUGGGUAAAGAAGCACCGGCUAACUACGUG